GCAAGUCCUUUCACAGCUUGUUAUUAGUCCCGUGUUCUGGAACGUGGGGUAAGAAGUAUCUGUCACAGUGGGCCGGGCGCGGUGGCUCAAGCCUGUAAUCCCAGCACUUUGGGAGGCCGAGGCGGGUGGAUCACGAGGUCAAGGGACCAAGACCAACCUGGUCAACAUGCUGAAACCUCGUCUCUACUAAAAAUACAAAAAAUUAGCUGGGCACGGUGGCGCGUGCCUGUAAUCCCAGCUACUCAGGAGGCUGAGGCAGGAGAAUUGCCUGAACCCAGGGGGCGGAGGUUGCGGUGAGCCGAGAUCGCGCCAUUACACUCCAGCCUGGGUAACAAGAGUGAAACUCCGUCUCAAAAAAAAAAAAGUAUCUGUCACAGUAUUACUGUGAUGAGUAAGUGAGAAUAUUGGGUACCAUUCAUGAGGUUCUUUGUCCAUUCCUUGUCUUCUUGAAAUGUAACUGUAGGCCUGGCCAGAACUGUAAUGUUACUGAAAUUUAUUCUUUCUAAUUUUAUACCUGGUGCCUUCUCCAUUCGCUGUCCUAUUAUUACUCCUGUUCUAUUUCAUCCUUAAAGAAGAUGAUCUCUUUCUCCUUAAAAUUCAUCCACAGGCUUCAUAGUCUAUGGAACAUGGAAGAAAAACUGACUUGUUUUUCUUGGAGAUAUAUUUUCUGGAGCCUCUUUCUUCCUCUUCAAGUUUGGAUGGGACCUGUGUCUGUCCCAGCUAGAUGCACAGUUCCAGAAGUGCAGUAAUCACGGAGGUGCUUCAUCCUAUGUGGGAUUCCUCUCUUUGUCUCUCCCAUGAUUACGUUACAUUGUGUAAGACUUUUCCUUGCUGGUAGACCUGCUCUUGAGUUCCUCCAUACUGUAUGCGGAUGAGGAGGUGCUGGAAAACUCAUGUGGCUAGGGCAGGGUUAGGGUGAGGGUUAGAGCCUGUUUGGAACUGGGCUGCACAGCAGAAGGUGAGUGGCAGGUGAGAGAACAUUACUGCCUAAGCUCCGCCUCUGGUCAGAUUAGCAGUGGCCUUAGAUAUUCACAGAACUGUGAACCCUAUUGUGAACUGACCUGCACACGUGAAGGAUCUAAGUUGCUCACUCCUGUGAGAAUCUAAUGCCUGAAAACAGCUUCAUUCAUUUUUCACUGCCACCCCUCAAGCUCCCACACCCCUACACAUCCCCAUCCGGAGAAAUUGUCUUCCACGAAACUGGUCCCUGAUAUCAAAAAGGUUGGGAACCUCUGGGCUAAGGAUUAUGGCAACCUUUAGGAACUUACGGAAGUCUUCAGUCAACAGACAAUAUCCUGGCACCAGCCUGGCAACAGAGCUAGACUCUGUCUCAAAAAAAAAAAAAAGCACUGAUUUGUUCAAGCAAGAUACUAUGUGAUAUUAACUUCUCACUUCUAUUUCAAGGUUAAUCCAUAGGGAUAAUAGAAUAAAGUAUCAACUCUGCGUUAAAGCCCUUCUAAGUAAAAUGCAAGGAGAAAGUGCUUUAAGUUGUGCAAUAUCAGGGCAGCAUCCUUAUCAGCCUUGUUCUUACUUAACCUAAAAAUUCACUAAAUCUUUCAGCUGGAAAACGCUUAACCAAUUAAUCUAAGUAGCUUAAUCAGUACAAAACAUUACAAAAGAUUAAUUCUCAUGCACACGUCAUCUGAUAUAGGUGAGGUGAUGUGAUGGGUCAGUC
rnacentral:lncRNA from 1 species